GUCUUCGUUGGAUUGCUGUCUGUUAGCAGCGCCUCUUUCACAACUCACGAGCGUGUUCGUUUUCAUAAAUUCAUCGACGACAAAUAGAGUUUUUCUUCAUGAUUUUGUAGCUAAUAAUUUUGUGCCAGGAGAGAAUUGCUAUAAAUGCUUAUGUCUUAUGAACAGGACUUGCUCUCUGUGAAGUGAUGGCUUUAAACACCUUUAAUAUUCUCUUAUCAGCAUCGCUCGAAACUUUAACAUUUAAUACAUCACGGUUGACCGCUGUCGAAACUAUAAAUUCUAUUUGUACGUGUGCGAGAAAGCUACGAAAUAUCGUAGAUACGGACUGCAAACUACUUGUGACAACGAUGGAGAUGCCCUAGGCCUAGCGCUAUUCCAACAGACUUCAAUUUUCUUUAGCCGCCAUCCGUAUAUUACAGUAUUUCGUUUUGAAAUUUGCGAACAUACAGCAAUCUAUAUUUAUAUUUCAUUUUGAUAAGUACAUUUGCAAACGUAAACAAUCUGUGUGAUUGGCCAAUUUUGACAUCUGUUUAAAAUGGGCGUAGCCCGCAGGCUAAGUGGGCGGAAAUGGCAAAGUAUGGGUUUUCGUGCAGGCUCUACUUUCUCUGAGAGCCGUUACGCAGGCUAGAGUCCCUCAGGACAAGUUGGCAGGGUAAGUUAGGAUAAACAUAGUUAGGUAAGUAAUACCACAAUUGUUGUAAAGAUACAGUAAAUAGUCUAGGCUAAGUAAAUAACAUGAGUAAGAGUAAUACUUGAUGUAAUCGGUCACUGAAAAGCCCCCAUGGGGAGUGAGCUGAAUAAUAAUAAUGUAACACUGUACAUCAAACAGAAAAUGUACAGUAAUGAUAGGUGCAUAGGAUAGGCAUAGCCAAACAAAUCCACAGGUCUCUUAUUACUAAUUAUUUAAUAUUAGGGAUCCACAUUUUUCUUCCCUUCAUCACCUUUCAAACGUUACCCCAGAUCCAUCAGUCCCGCAAAACCCACUGUAUUGUGGACCCUCAGUUCGUGUCAAUUUUUUAAACUCUAUUUACCGUUUCACUAUAGUUUAAAUAUUUUCAUUUUCAGUUUCGUCUAAACUUGAUCUACAGGUACUGUACAUGCUGUACAACAUAUACCUUAAAUUGCUCCUAGUGCAUGGGCUAUGCCUUAUAUGCCUAAUCUAUAUUCAUUUUCGCUGUAUAUAAAGUUAGUAAAACCUAACCUUUGUUUUAACGUAGUAACUGACAUAGCCUUCAAUGUGUUUUUCAGGAUCCUCAACUUUGACAUGUAAAUCUUGGACAUGUUCACUGUCACUAUCUAGACUACCUAAACUAGUAGACUUCAUCACGGCAGGAUCAUUUGACUGAACUUCUUCCAGACCACCAACAUUCACCGUAUCAAUUGUCUGAUCAUUCUGAA